CGGAAUUUUUAAAGAAGAGCGCRCAGUUGGRRAAAAACUUCCAUUUAGACACCGAUGUUUACGAAGCUGGCAAAUGAAACAGUGAAACGUUAAACUCACUACUUGCUAGUCCUUGGAAGAUGCGAAUUUUCAACGAAAGAGCGCUAAUGUUUUGAGCCAUCGCUUUUGAUACUAAUAUUUGCGAACCUGCCAAAAAUUGAGGCUCCCGGAGAUUSUCAUGAAACUUUCGCCRUAUAUAGAGUUAAGUGUAUUCUAACGAUGGGUAAAAUUUCAUAUUGCUGCUUGCAUUAGUUUGGGAGAUAUAAAUUUUUAAAAGGGGCGCGCAUUUUUUUAGAAUCCUUAAUUUUCAGAUCGACAUUUAAUAGGCUGGCAAUGUCAGAAUUGUAGGGUGAUUUCUAUGAAACUUUCCCCGUUUGUAGAGCCAAGAACCCGCUAAGCGUGGUGAAAUUUUAAGUUCCUACUCGCUUUUGUUGGGAAGAACAGAAUUUUUUGAAGCAGAGAGCGCAGUUGGGUAAAGCCAUCCAUUUGGAGACAGAUAUUUCAACUGUCAAAAAUCAGGACGCAAGAAGACUUUCGGCAUUUGUAGCGCCGAGUAUCUGCUAAACAGGCGUCUACGAACGGAUACUUUUCUGGAACAACGCUAGAUAUUUCACGAAAAUCGCCCUCAAACUAGAAUUUUUCCAGCGCAACUGAAGCAAACAGCUGGUUGACAUUGUCAUUGUUUUGAGGAAAAACUUUACCUUCAAUUUCGGGGAAGAA